GGUCAGAUUAUGUCCGCUAAGCUCUGCAGUGAGGAAACCUUUUUGUUUAAUACAUCCUAAAAGAGGAUUCUCCAAUUCUGCCUGGACAUAUGGAACAGUUUAGCCCCCCCCCAUACAUUAGGGGAAACCUAUGUAUCCAGUUAUUAAUAUAAUCAUGAAAAGAAGUCAAUCAUCUAGUCAUUAAUAUAAUCAUGAAAGAAUAUGAAAAGGACUUUCUUAGAAAAUGCACUUAAUCAAUUCUUAUUUAUUCACUUUCUGAUCCAUUUCCUCACAACCAUAUCUCUAAACAAGAAGAUAGUAGAUGGCAAAGAGAUAAAAUUAUCUCCCAGUUGUUCCAAACUCACCUCUCAGAGUGUCAUCAAUUCAGUUACUUUUAAUAUUGUAUUGAAUUUCACAUUCACCUUUGUUUUAUGCAGGUUUUAAUGUAAUUGAAAUCAUAUUAAGGACACUAAGCUUUCUUGAGCCAAAAAUAUGAACACUUUACAUCAUUAACAAGAUUUCUGCUAUAUUUUUCUACAAAAUUAUAGUUUGGUGAUAUGGUAGAACCAUACAUAAAAGAGCACACUAUACAUAAAUAUUUGUAUAUGAUGCUUAUACAGAAGUUUACAGAAUACUCAUGAUGCAAAGCAGAAGUUAAAUUUCAUCUGAACAUUGAAUGAUACUGUAAUGUGGUUCAAGAAUGAGGAAAGUUUAGAUGGUUUAGAUAAGGGUAGAGCAUGAAUAAAGUUCCUAAAGCAGAAGUGAGCAUAUGUUGUAUGUGGAGCUCAUUGGAUGGGGUUGAAGAGGCUGGCCUGACAUUUGCAUGAGGGAGAGGGACAGAAAAAGAAAACUGGAUAGAGGUGGUAGAGGCAGAGUCAAUUGACUUUAAGAGUCACUUGGUGUGGUCUGUAACUGAGAGGACCUUGUUGCUAAGCAGUUAAAUCAAGAACUUAAUCCUCUGUGAGAUCUACAGAGAUUUGUUUCCUUUUACCAUGUGAGGUGUCAAUUCUUGUAUUUGUUUCUUGAGAGGGGCAAUGCAGACCAUUGAUGACCGUGGCCCCUUGAAGGGACUAUGGACAUAAUUGUUCAUUUUGCUGAUAAGCAAUUCUUGUCCAUUAAGGAGAAAAAGCUCUAGUGGCAAGAUGGUAGCCUUGGGAAUAUGUGAGAAUAAAGGAAGAUAAAUAUUUUUAAGGUUAGUAAAGAUUUAAGCAUGUUCAUGAACUGGAGGUAAAGAGAAAGUAAUGAAGGAAAAGUUGAGGAUAAAUCUGAUAGUAGAGUCAAUCUUCAAGUAGUAGGUAGGACUAUAGAAUUCAUAGCACAGAUAGAAGGGCUGUGAGCUGGAACUGGAGGAAGAUACAUAUUUCACUGAAAUCGAAUCCAAGAAUCCAGGGAGAGUUAAGAAUGACUGUAGCUACAGAUAGGAUUUUAUUUUCAGCAAAGAAAGAGGGACAGAGUUUUGCCCUAAAAUCUUUCAUUUUCAUUAUUUGGCUACUGCUCUUCCAAUGGAUUUUGACCCACAAUAAGAAAUGUAGUUUAGUUUAUGUUAAGACUCGGUGAGCAUGAGAGUGUGCAGAUAUAAACAGACAUGGAAAAUUGAAUAUAAACUUUGGUUACAGUGUGUGAAGGUCUUACUAAGGAUCUAUGUAAAACCCUCUGAUAUUUUUACACAGUUGUAUUUCAUUUGGUUGUGACCCACUAAAUUGGUUUACAGUUUGUGACCUGAGUUUGAGAAACAUGAAAUUAGGCUGUGACUGUGAGUGAGUAGAAAGAUCAUAAGAUAGGGUGUUGAUGAGUUUUAAAUUGUUACUGGAAAUAGAAGAAAGAGUUAAUUACUGAUUCAGAGGAAGAUUCUCACAGUGGUUAAAAUCCUAGUAAUAUUAGAGGAAAGGCCUUCAGAAUAUACCAGUUCACAAAAUUAGUGGGAAGGUAGUGUUUCCUCAAGACUUGUCUCUGGAGUAAUGCAUUGAUGCAUGGACUGGCCUAUCACAGAUUCUUCGGAAUAAACUUUUGUAUUAUAACAUCGUCGUAUUUCUGACAAUACUUAAUAUAGGUUUUAUCUUCUCUAUAAGGCUUUUUCUUUCAUGAUUCUCUCUCAAUUCACCCAUUUCCAUCUUAAUAUUCCAAACUCUGUGAUAUAUACCAAGGAUUUUAUGAAGAGAGCUAUGGAGAAGAAAUCUAAAUUGGGAUUUCACCUCUAUCAGAGAUACUUUUCCUAAGAGGUCUCACCUAGUAAUCCUGAUUUCCUCAUGUGGCAUCUGGUGGUCAUCCGUUAGUUCUGGAAACCUAUACUGAGGGAUACAGGUUUUCUUGACAUCAUAAUGCUAAGGAUGUUGCACAUGCUCAUUUGUGCUCUUAGAAUAUUGAGGCCACCAGUAUGUGUUAACAGUGUGUCUCUCAAGUUGUUUUAACAUUUUGAUUUCUAAUAUUGAGCAAAUCAUCAACAACAUUUUUAAGUGAAAGUCAGGAACUGAGCAAAAUUAGCUUUUACUUGAGCCAACAUUUGUUUUCAACAAUGAUAAGGUUUUAAAGUCUACUGAAAUUGUGGUCUCCUGAACAUUAUAAUGAACGGACCCUAGGCUUAAGCUCCUCUGUGUAGCUUUCUUUGGAACAUUGAGAUUGAAAUUGGUAGAUCCAGGUAACUCACCAGCCAUGAGAAAAAUAGAAUCAAAUCUGUGUUGACAUGAUCAGAAGGAGCCUCUUAAUGAUAGAGAUUAUGAUGCUAGUGGGCUGUGUGCACUGCCCCAAAACAGCCGCCCCACUCCCUGUUACCCCAUCAUAUGUCUUCCUUUCUGGAAUUCCCAGGGCUUUCCUGCAGAUAAGAAUAGAUUAUAAAAUUAAAAAGUCUUGAUUGGAGGAGGUCUCCCAAUACUAAUAAGCCCUUGUAGUGGGACUUUUUUGACUACCAAUUUAGAGCAGAAUGAAGUAUACAUAAAAUAUCUGGGAUAGGAGAGGGGGGUUGGAGCAAACUAUAUUAAAGGAACAAAAAAUGAUGGGUUUGGAUGUGUGGUACACAUGCUUAUUGAAUGUGCAGGUUGUUAGUAGGUUUUUGGUUGGAAGAAAGACUUGUCUCAGAAACCAGUGUCUUUAAAAUGAACAAUUUUGCCUGGUAUGACAGCUCAUGCCUGUAAUCCCAGUACUUUGGGAGACCGAGACAAGAUCACUUGAGUUUGAGACCAGUCUGGGUAACAUAGUGAGACUCCAUCACUACCAAAAAAAAAGAAAAAGAAAAAUUAGCUGGGCAUUACAGUUCAGGCCUGCAGUUCUAGCUACUUGGAGGCUAAAGUGGGAGGAUUCCUUGAGUCCAGGAAUUUAAGGCUGCAGUGUGCUAUGGUUGUGUCACUGGUUGUGUAUGUUUGCAUUACAGCCUGGGCAACAGAGCAGUACUCCAUCUGUAAAAUAAAAUAAAAUAAAAUAAGUACAUAUAUUAAAAUAACAUGGAAAGCGUCUUGCCAUUUUACAUGUUCAAAGAACAGUAUACAGUGAAUCUUUAUGUAUCUAUCACGGAAGUUUAACUAUAACUCACCUAUGUUCAUUCUACCCCAUCUGGAAAUCUUAUUGCCCAUUAUGUAUUAAGAGAAUCCUACACAUUUUAUUGCUUCAAAUAUGGUCCAAAUACAAGAAUCACUUUGCCUUUUUUCUCUCUCUCCUUCACUCUUUCCAUCCCACCCGCCCCAUCCUGGCUCUUUCAGUUUUUAUUUUCAGCACUGCAGCUCUGAUGGUCCAGCUCCACCAGGACACAGAUUCCAGAUCCUUAAAGGUACCUAGCACCUUGAACAGCUCAGAGGGAGGAGCCAGACCAACAGUGCCUCAUACCUUGUCAUUGUCUGCUCUAGGCAGAUGGCUCUAUAAUCACAGCUUCAUGAUGGCAGUGGGUGAGCCCCUGGUGCACAUCAGGGUCACUCUUCUGCUGCUCUGGUUUGGGGUGUUUUUGUCCAUUUCUGGCCACUCUCAGGCCAGGCCCUCCCAGGGUUUCACUUCCUCAGAAGUGGUAAUCCCUUUGAAGGUGAUCAGCAGAAACAGAGGUGCAAAGGCUCCUGGAUGGCUCUCCUAUAGCCUGCGGUUGGGGGGACAGAGAUACACUGUCCACAUGAGGGUAAAGAAGCUGUUGUUUGCCACACACCUCCCUGUGUUCACCUACACGGAGCAGCAUGCCCUCCUCCAGGAUCAGCCCUUCAUCCAGGAUGACUGCUACUACCAUGGUUAUGUGGAGGAGGUCCCUGAGUCCUUGGUUGCACUUAGUACCUGUUCUGGGGGCUUUCUUGGAAUGCUACAGAUAAAUGACCUUGUUUAUGAAAUCAAGCCAAUUAGUGUUUCUGCCACUUUUGAACACCUAGUACGUAAGAUAGACAGUGAUGAUACACAGUUUCCACCUAUGAGAUGUGGGUUAACAGAAGAGAAAAUAGCACACCAGUUGGAGUUGCAAUUGUCAUAUAAUUUCACUCUGAAGCAAAGUUCUUUCGUUGGCUGGUGGACCCAUUGGCGGUUUGUUGAGCUGGUAGUGGUCGUGGAUAAUGGUCGAUACCUUUUCUCUCAAAGUAAUGCCUCAAUAGUGCAGCAUGAAGUAUUUAACAUUAUCAAUAUAGUGGAUUCCUUCUAUGAUCCUUUGGAGGUUGAUGUAAUUUUGACUGGAAUUGAUAUAUGGACUUCAUCAAAUCCACUUUCUACUGAUGGAGACCUAGAUAAUAUUUUAGAAGAAUUUGCUAUUUGGAAGAAUUACAACCUUAAUAAUCGACUAAAACACGAUGUUGCACAUCUUUUCAUAAAAGAGAUGCAAGGCUUAAAGCUUGGUGUUGCCUAUGUUAAAGGAAUAUGCCAGAAUCCUUUUAAUUGUGGAGUUGAUGUUUUUGAAGAUGACAGGUUGGUCAUUUUUGCAAUUACUUUGAGCCAUGAGCUUGGUCAUAAUUUGGGUAUGCAACACGACACUGAAUGGUGUGUGUGUGAGCUACAGUGGUGCAUAAUGCAUCCCUACAGAAAGUUGACAACUAAAUUUAGCAACUGCAGUUAUGCCCAUUAUUGGGAUAGUACUAUCAGUAAUGGAUUAUGUAUUUACCCUCCUCCAUAUCCAGGGAAUAUCAUUAGACUGAAGUACUGUGGGAAUCUAGUGGUUGAAGAAGGAGAGGAAUGUGACUGUGGAACCACACAGCAGUGUGCAGAAGAUCCCUGUUGUCUGUUAAACUGUACUCUAAGUCCUGGAGCUGCUUGUGCUUUUGGGUUGUGUUGCAAAGACUGCAAAUUUCUGCCACCAGGGACUUUAUGUAGACAACAAGUUGGUGAAUGUGACCUUCCAGAGUGGUGCAAUGGGACAUCCCAUCAAUGCCCAGAUGAUGUGUAUGUGCAGGACGGUAUCUCCUGUAAUGUCAAUGCCUUCUGCUAUGAAAAGACAUGUAAUAACCAUGAUAUACAGUGUAAAGAGAUUUUUGGCCAAGAUGCAAGGAGUGCAUCUCAGAGUUGCUAUGAAGAAAUCAACACCCAAGGAAACCGUUUUGGUCACUGUGGUAUUGUAGGCACAACAUACAUAAAAUGUUGGCCCCCUGAUAUCAUGUGUGGGAGGGUUCAGUGUGAAAAUGUAGGAAUCAUUCCCAAUCUGAUGGAGCAUUCUACAGUGCAGCAGUUUCACCUCAAUGACACCACUUGCUGGGGCACUGAUUAUCAUUUAGGAAUGUCUAUACCUGAUAUUGGUCAGGUGAAAGAUGGCACGGUAUGUGGUCCAGAAAAGAUCUGCAUCCGUAAGAAGUGUACCAGUAUGGUUCGUCUGUCACAAGCCUGUCAGCCUCAGACCUGCAACAUGAGGGGAGUCUGCAACAAUAAACAACACUGUCACUGCAACCAUGAAUGGGCACCUCCCUACUGCAAGGACAAAGGCUAUGGAGGUAGUGCUGAUAGUGGCCCACCUCCUAAGAACAACGUAGAAGGAUUAAAUGUGAUGGGAAAGUUGGGUUACCUGUUAUUAUUGUGCCUUCUUCCUUUGAUUCCUUUUUUAUUAUAUUGCUUACUUGUGCGUUUUAAGAAACGUACAAAAAGUAAAAAAGACAAAGGAUAAGAGAAAUGGGGAAAAGGAGACUAAGCUUCAUACUUCAUUGUUUAAUCUCCAAUUUUUCUUUUAAUAAUAGAAAAAUAUGAAGGCAUGUCUUACUGUUUAAACAAAACUUCAUGGACAUUUCAUGUCAGGAUCACAAGCAUUAGAUAUCACAGCAAGGGAUUCCUAACAUACUCUUACUUCUCUAUGGUGUCUUAAGCAAUAUUAAAGGUUCAUUUUCCCAGAAGUCAUCUCUUUAUGUUUCCUGAUAAAAGGCACAGAAAAGUUAGUUUUAUACUGGUGUCCCUCAGUUCUAACCCUCCUCUCUCUCUCUCUCUUUUUUUUUUUUUUUUUUUUUUUUGCAAUACUGUAUAAUGUUCAGGAUGUGCCUAUACACACCUCAUUUCUGUUUGGCAUACUUAGCUAUGCUAAAAGGGGGCAGUAGAAGUAGCUUGGAGUGAUGAUGAGGGGAGAAGGGAGCUUUCUUUCCUGUGUGCUUACCAUGAGUGUCACCAUUAUUUUGGCUGGGGCCAUUCACUCUGGUAAUCAUAUUUGAUUUCAGAUUCCAGUUCUGUUGUCACUUUUAGAACCCCUCUCAUUUUUCCUUAGAAAUACCAGCAAGCAGCCCUGGAGUGAGCAGGGCUGUGGUCCUCUGAGUUCUUAAGGCAGCAGCAGCUGUUCACUGUGGUGUCUUUAGAGGCCUGGGUCCUUACUCUGCAGGAAAUGUUCUUUAGUCAUCUCCGCUCUAGUAAACCUAACUUCUUUUUUCUGUUCUCCUGGCCCUAGGAAUGUUAGGUGCCUUCUGUAGCUACUUUGUUGUUGUAGGUUGAGUUCUCUGGAAUCAAACACUGGAUUGGAGUUUCAAGUACAAGAUUUUGUUAGGGACCAACAUCUGUGAAAAAAGUCAAGGAAGUUGCUUGUACAGAUGAGAUGUAUAAGUACAGGCAUAACUUGGAAUAAUAUAGGUUCAGUUCCAGACCACUGCAAUAACAGGAAUAUCACAAUAAGGAAACCAUUUUAUUUGCUCAUCUAUAAGAAGCAACUCCUCAUCCAUUCAAGAUUUAUCAUGAUGUUACAGCAAUUCAGUCACAUCCUCAGGCUCCACUUUUAAUUCUAGUUCUCUUGCUAUUCCUGCAACAUCUACAGUUCUUUCCACCACUGAAGUCAUCUGUGAAGGUUGGACUCAACGUCUUCCAAACUCCUUUUAAUGUUAAUAUUUUAACCUCCUCACAUAAAUCAGGAAUGUUCUUAAUGACACCUAGAAUGGUGAAUCCUUUCCAGAAAGGUUUCAGUUGAUUUGCCCAGGUCCAUCAGUGGAAUUACUAUCUAUGGCAGCUAUAGCCUUAUGAAAUAUAUUUCUUAAAUAGAAAGAUUUAAAAGUCAAAAUUACCCCAUCCAUGGGCUGCAGAAUGGAUGCUGCAUUAACAGGCAUGAAAACAACAUUUAUCUCCUUGUACAUCUCCAUCAGAGAUCUUGUGUGAUCAGGUGUAUUGUCAGGGAACAGUAAUAUUUGAAAAGAUAUCCUUUUUUAUUUUUUUUCUGAGCAGUAGUUCUCAACAGUAGGCUUAAAAUAUUCAGUAAACCAUGCUGUGAACAGAUAUGCUGUCACCAAAGCUUUGCUCUUUCAUUGACAGAGCACAAGCAGAGUAGACUUAGCAUUAUCCUUAAGGCCCUUCAGAUUUUUGGAAUGGCAAAGGAGCAUUGGUUUCAACUUAAAUUCACCACCUGCAUUCGUCCCUAACAAAACUGUCAGCCUGUCCUUUGAAGCUUUGAAGCCAGACAUUGACUUCUCCUCUCUAGCUGUGAAAGUCCUAGUCUUCUUCCAAUAGAAGGCUGUUUCAUCUACACUGAAAAUCUGUUGCUUGGUGCAGCCACCUCCAUCAGUGAUCUUAGCUAGAUCUUCUGUAUAACUUGCAGCUUCUACAUCAGUACUUGCUGCUUCAUCUUGCGACUUUAUGUUAUGGAGAUGGCUUUUUUCUUAACCCUCAUGAACCAACCUGUGCUAGCUUCAAAUUUUUCCUUGGCAGAUUUCUUACCUCUCUCCACUGGCAUAGAAUUGAUGAAGAUUAGGGUCUUGCUCUGGAUUAGGCUUUGAGUUAAGGGAAUGUUGUGGCUGGCUUAAUCUUCUAUUUAGACCACUCGAACAUUCUGUGUAUCAGCAGUAAGCUGUUUUGCUUUCUUAUCAUUUGUGUGUUCCCUGGAGUAGCACUUUUAAUUUUCUUCAACAAUGUGUCCUUUGCAUUCACAACUUUGGCUGUUUGGUGCAAGAGGCCUAGCUUGGCUUUUGACAUGCCUUUCUCAUUAAGCUUAAUCAUUUUUAGUUUUUGAUUUAAAGUGAGAAAUGCAAGACUCUUCCUUUCACUUGAACACUUAAGCUAUGGUAGGGUUAUAAAUUAAUCGACCAAAUUUCCAUCUUAUAUAUUAGGGAAUAGGGAGGCCCAAGGAGAGGGAGAGAGAUGAAGGAAUGGUCAGUUGGUGGAGCAGUCAGAACAUACACAAUUUUUUUGCUUAAAUUUGUCUUCUCAUGUGGUUGGGAUUUGUGGCACCCAAAAACAAUUAUUAUGGUAACAUCAAGGAUGACUGAUCACAGAUCACCAUAACAAAUAUAAUAAUAAUAAAGCUUGAAAUAUUGUGAGAAUUACCAAAAUGUGACAGACACAAAGCAAGCACAUGCUGUUGAAAAAAUGGUGCCAACAGAUUUGCUCAUCAAAAGAUUGCCACAAACCUUCAAUUUGUAAAACAAAACCAAAAAGAGUAUCUGUGAAGCACAAUACAUUGAAGUGUGAUAAAAAUAAGGUAUACUUGUAUAUCACAGCCUCAGCCAAUCUGGCGGUGAACUCUGAACUGAAUAUUGCUUGACUGAUUUGUCUGAGUUGGGCCAAAAUGGUCUGGUCUUCAUCCCUUCAGUUUGUUCAUUCAGUGGGUGUGGGAGAAGGGCAUGAGCUUGGUAGGGUGCCUCUUUGUAACUGAGGCUGACCCCAAAGAGCUAACACCUGGAUGCUGUCUUCUGAUUAUAAUUCCUGCAGAUGGUCAGCAAGUCUUCUUGAAGAAGGAUCCAAGAAACAUAUUUAUAUAUUCUACAGUCCAAUAUUUGCACUGCUCCGACCCACUUUUUGAUCUAUGUUGUGUGAACAAUGCCUCCAGGAUUCUGGUGGACAUCCCUUUCUGUGGGAAACCUUAGAAAAGGGAAGUUAAUGGGAUAAACCAUAGUCCUUCUGUGACAUUUGGGAUUGAGACUGAAAUGGAUACUUAUUGUCUCACUCCUCCACUGUCCAUUCUAGUUUCCUUAACUGUGUGUUAUGACCCAGGUCUUUAUCUCCAAAAGAUGUGAGCACUUGGUCAUCAUGCCCUUCUUAAGUUGUGAUUGCUGAACCUGUCCAUUUAUACUCACCAUCAGGCUGGGGAGUACCAAUAGGCACCUAAGGAGAUCACCUGGGUUCUACACAUAUACCUCUAUGUUUCCAUCUUAGAAGCCCUGCCUCCUUAGGGUCAAUCACCUCUGUCAAGAAUGUGAUUGUCUUCUUUUUGGUGCAAGGAAACAGUGAGUUCUAGUGGCAGCUUCAGCUUAUAAUUUAUUGGGACUCUAACUUUGCCCUGGUGAAAAUAUGACCCAUUUGGGCACCACCAGGACCUUUAAGCUGCAGAGUCCAGAAUUGCAGGAGGCAACAAGCACAAAUCACCCCAGUGAGUCACUCUGAGUGGCAGUAAGUGGGAUCACUCCUGUUUCCAGCCCUUGGUUCCCGGACCAACGUAAAGAUCUGUAGUUCAGUGCAUACAAUUCAUCCUGCGGAAUGGUAUCCUAUUCCUGUAGUAUAUUGCCUCGGAACAAGUGCUUCAGCUUUAGCUCAGUUGUGCCAUCAGUAGGCAUUUCCAAUGCUUUAUUAGGCUGGCAGCUCCUAGAUUAAGUUAUCUGUUAUAUAGCCAGUGUAUACCAUGUUCUUUGGCCCCCUUCCACAACUUCUUUAAAGUGGUACCUUGGUCUGAUAUGAUAUUAUAUGGAAACAACAGACCAGUGGAUCAGAUACUCCAAAUAUCCAAAGAUAUCGGUGCUCACUGCCUUACCUCAGUGUGAUAAGGCAAAUUCACAUCAUGAAUAUGUGUCUAUUACUGUCAGAAUGAACCACUGACCCUUCCGGGAUGGUGAUGACCAAUUAUAGUCAAUUUCCCUCCAAGUGUUCUUCUAGGAAUAAUGCCAGAUUGGGUGAUCAGCUUGGUCUUUAUUGUUAGUUCGCUGAUGGCAUGCCUCUGCUGCUCCAGAGGCAUACACUGUGAUUCUUUCUCUGGGGCUUACCACAAACUCCACUCAACAUCUUUUUCUAUCACAGAUGCUUUCAACAUCAUAGGGUCUACUAGAGAGUAUGACUCCAGUGGAAGGUUGUUUGUAUCACAACCUGGUCCUGGUGCAGAGUUCCUUCCUUCUCUGGUUUCCACUCAAAGAUGACAGUAUUAUAUGGUACCAAAUAUAAGGACCCAAGCAGUGGUCCUAGGUAUCAAAUUUGCUGCCUCCAGGAACCAAAGCAAUUCCUAGGCAUUGUGUUUCCUUCUUCAUGGUAGGAGGUGCAGAAAGGAAUAAUUUGGCCUUUCUUUGGAAGGGAUAACCCCGCAUAUCCUUAGCUCUUAGAAAACUAAAAAUUUUACUGACACAGCAUGUUCUUGAUCCCAAUUUAUUAUUAUUCACAGAGUUUAUCUUCCAUCCUCUGAGCUCAUGUAUUUUACCAAGGCCUUCAAUGUCAUUACUACCUCUUGUAUACCUGGCUUGAUCAACAUGAUGCCAUCAAUGUACUCGAUCAGUGUGAUGUACUGUGGGAUAGCUAGAUAGUCUUCUCACUAUGUUAUGACAGAGGGUGGAAGUAUUAUCAUAGCCCUGGGUCCAUAAGACCAAUAACUCACUGUAAGUCAGAGCAUUGCUAAUACUUUAUUACUUGGUCCUCAUAUAUGUUUUCAUUAUAACAGGAAGGUCAUCCCAAUGUUUUGAAUACCUUGAUAUUAAUGUCAACUCAGUCUCUGUGUUCAAUAGUCCUCGAAAUGGAUAGAUAUUCCCCCUUCCUUUGCACAGCUAUGUAAGUGGCCUUAGUUCCCUUUGGUGAAGGGCUGGGGGAGUCAUUACUGUUUAUAUAUUUGCCAUGGUGUUAUAGCAUCCUGGUCCCAGGGCUCUGUCCAUGUCAUCAGGGAGUGAGUUCCAGGUUUGAAAGAAGUUCAAGUCCACAAACUGGGAAAGUGAUGAACUUUUGGGGAGGCAACUCCUUUUUGCUUCCCAGUCAUCUAUGCUGGGCUUCUUCUAUUGGCAUAAAGUAGUAUCCUUAUUGGCUGCCUAUCUAUUUUGCCCUUAAGGAUUUUGGAAUCCUUCUACUACUAUCACCUUAGGUCUUGCUGCCAUUCUGACCUUGCCAGUCUUUUUGUUUGUUUGUUUGUUUUUUGAGACAGAGUUUCGCUCUUGUCCCAGGCUGGAAUGCAAUGGCGCAAUCUCGGCUCACCGCAACCUCUGCCUCCUGGGUUCAGGCAAUUCUCCUGCCUCAGCCUCCUGAAUAGCUGGGAUUACACACACGUGCCACCAUGCCCAGAUAAUUUUUUGUAUUUUUAGUAGAGACGGGGUUUCACCAUGUUGACCAGGAUGGUCUCGAUCUCUUGACCUCGUGAUACACCUGCCUUGGUCUCCCAAAGUGCUGGGAUUACAGGCAUGAGCCACGGCAUCCGGCCGACCUUGCCAGUCUUUAUGACUAUUGCAACUUCUUACUCUCUGGGAUGGUUAUAUAUUACCUCCUGACCUCUAGGUGUCAGAGUCAUAUUAUCACCACUGCUAGUAGUGAGCAAAGUUCUGUAACACCCCCUCCUACUCUGAGCCCUGGCUUGCAAAGACUCAAUACUGGACCUUCUAGUAAUACCAGUGCUCCUCUUAUUAGCACAUUUUUUAUGUCUUUGGUAAAUGGUGCAUUUUAUGGACAUUCCUAUGGAACAUUAUCAUCUGAAGGCCAUGUAGAAUUCCGUUUCAGCAUGCCCAUUUCCAUGAAGCUUUUAAUCCCAUAAUCAUUCAUUAUGGCAAUUCUGGCAUUUCAGCUUCACUGUAUGGGCAUUACUUUUUCCAUGCUUCUAGAAGCCAUCCCAGGAACAAAUUUGCAUCAUGCCCUAGGGUCCUUGCCAAGGUGUAAAAUCCUAUAUCUUGGGAGAGUAAAUUUUUUCCCUUUCCAAUUUUAUGUUUGCCAUUUGAUUAUGCAUAUCAGAAUGAAAUACCUUUUCUCUGAGUAUGCUGAGCACUUUUCCAGUUGAUUAUGCUGUGACUGAAUCCUAGCUUUAUGCCUAGUGGCCAAAAGAGGACGGCGGGGGGAAGGCUCUGCAAGACACCCAUUGCCUCAUAGUGGAGUGGCCUCUGCAUUCUCUUUCACGAUUCUGGGAUGAAUCACUCCUGCAGAAGAGUAUAUGGAGCGUUCAGCUACUUGGAUUUCUUUCUCUUCCCCUAGAAGGAAAUGAGGGCUACUUCGUAUGCAGUCAGAAAGGAUACUGACAUUCAUGCCUGGAUUUUAAUUGCCUGUUGCUCACCAUCAGCUGUUCAUUAAUCAAAAGGGAAAUUUUUCUGAGUAGGCCUGACCUACCAGAUGAGCCCUUUUAAGAAGGAUCUGAAGGUAAAACUUAAAGCUGCAGACACUUCUUGUCCUAGCUUUGAAGAAGCCAGCUGCCAUGAGUUCUACAACUGUCAGAAAAUGAAACCCGCAACAUCCUGAUUGAGCUUGGAAGAAGAAAUUUUCUUUGAUGAGAAAUACAACUCAGCUAGUCCCUUGAUUGUAGCUUUGUGGGACCCUGAGCCAAAGACCUAGCUAAGCCUGUCCAAAUCCUCACAAAUGAAAACUGUGAGAUAAUAAAUGUAUGUUGCUUAAGACGCUAAGCUUGUGGUAAUUUGUUACAUAGUUUGGAAAAUGAAUACAACUCAAACCCUUGCUCCAUCUCAACUGUUAGUGAUUUCUUCCCCAGUGGCACAUAUUCCAAGUCACUACUUAUGAGACUUUUAACCAUUGGAAUACCCACCUUGUGCCAGGGGCUGUUUGUGUUCCACCUAUCACCAGAAAUAGAGUCCCUAUUACCAGUUCUUGGGGUCAGGCUAACUCACUUUAGCUGUGUCAAACCAUGAAGUAGUGGAAAGCUCAAGGCUGGCUGCUGACCCGCAGGGCACCUUGUCCUUCCAUGAGAGGGAAUCUGGGCUUCUCACCUUCUGUUACGUUUUUCUUAUCUUGUGUUUCCUUUCCACGUUUCAGUCCUCUAAUACUUGUUUAGCCACGUUUGUAUUUGUCACUCUUUGGCUUCACCGUGCUCUCAUGUAAUCCUUGAAGUCUACAGACCUAAAUGGGGAAUUGGCUUCUGGGAAGCCUAUCAGGUAGCUGGGAUUCACCCAUUCAAUUCCCCUCAAAGUUGAUAUGUGACUAGGGUACUGUUGUCAUAACCUUAAUGGGGAUGCAAGCACAGAGAGCAAGGCAGAAACCCACUAACCAACAUUAGGGAACAAGUUAGCCUCUAAUCUCAGGAGAAAGUGGAAAGAAUAAAACUUACACAUAAGUGCAAGCUACAACUGCCUAGGAGGAAGAGUAAUUUUAUAUUGAGCCCAGGGUAUUAGUCCAAAGCUUUUUAGCCAAGACCAGUCUCCAUUCUAGAAAGGGGUGCUAGCGUUGGACCUUCUUGCUCAGGUUACAGCUGGAGCUACAGGAAGAAUGCAGAGACUGGGGAGACAGGGACUGACAGGGAAGCCAAUCACUCUAGACAUGGGUAUAAGUGGCUAAGUGACCAAAAAAACAAAACAAAAAAACCCUUCCUAUCUACCUCUCAGAGCCUUGGCUUUUAGAUUCUCACAUGAAUUUAAAAGUCUUGAUUUUAUUUUAGAUACAGGGGGUCCACGUGUAUGUUUGUUACAUGGGUAUAUCUCAUACUGACGGGGAUUGGGCUACUAGUGUACCCAUUACCCAAACAGUGGACAAGAGUUACCUGAUAGGUAACUUUUCAACUCAAUCCACUUCCAUCCUCCUCAGUUUUGGAGACCCUGCUGAGUAUUGUUUCCAUCUUUAUGUCCAUGUGUACCCAUUGUUUGGCUCCUACUCAUCAGUGAGAACAUGAAAUAUUUGAUUUUUUGUUUCAGUUAGUUCACUUCCUCCUCCCUUUCACCCUCCCCUUACUUCCUCCUUGUCCUAUUUUUCCCUUUUCUUCUCUGGCUUCCCUUUCUUCCUCCUCCUGUUCUUUACCUUCCUUACCCUGUUCCUCCCCAUCUUCCCUGUUUUUUUUUUUUAAUUAUACCAGAAGUAAACACAUGAACAUUCAUUUUGUGAAACAUUAAAAUUUCGUAGAUAGAAUUGUAAUCCGAUUUUACUGUCUGCCUGUCAAGAGGAAACUUUAUCAGCUUUUUUGGCAAUAUUCCAGACUCUUUUCUUUAUACAUACAUUACAAAAUUAUACAUAAUUUUGUGUCCAUAA